UUGAAGUUCGUCCAUAGUCUUUUGGGACAUGCUUUUAGUUUUAAGCGUGUGUCAGGUAAUAUGCUAGCUGGUUACAGAAGAAAUGUGAUAUGAGGUUAUGGGAUGCAAAGAAUAAUCAAAGGUUUGACGCAUAUGUUAAAUGAGUUUUCUAUGAUGGUGUGCUAUAAUGAAAUGUAACAUCAUAGGUUCAAGGUUCAGUAUAUU
rnacentral:lncRNA from 1 species